rnacentral:rRNA from 1 species
UACGUAGGGGGCAAGCGUUUGUCCGGAAUCAUUGGGCGUAAAGAGCGUGUAGGCGGCUCGGUAAGUCCGCUGUAAAAGUCCAGGGCUCAACCCUGGAAAGCCGGUGGAAACUGUCGGGCUAGAGUCCGGAAGAGGCGAGUGGAAUUCCUGGUGUAGCGGUGAAAUGCGCAGAUAUCAGGAGGAACACCAAUGGCGAAGGCAGCUCGCUGGGACGGUACUGACGCUGAGACGCGAAAGCGUGGGGAGCAAACAGG